AUGAACGCUGGCGGCGUGCCUAAUCCAUGCCAGUCGAGCGAACAGACCAGGAGCUUGCUCCUCUGACGUUAGCGGCGGACGGGUGAGUAACACGUGGAUAACCUACCUAUAAGACUGGGAUAACUUCGGGAAACCGGAGCUAAUACCGGAUAAUAUAUUGAACCGCAUGGUUCAAUAGUGAAAGACGGUUUUGCUGUCACUUAUAGAUGGAUCCGCGCCGCAUUAGCUAGUUGGUAAGGUAACGGCUUACCAAGGCAACGAUGCGUAGCCGACCUGAGAGGGUGAUCGGCCACACUGGAACUGAGACACGGUCCAGACUCCUACGGGAGGCAGCAGUGGGGAAUCUUCCGCAAUGGGCGAAAGCCUGACGGAGCAACGCCGCGUGAGUGAUGAAGGUCUUCGGAUCGUAAAACUCUGUUAUUAGGGAAGAACAAAUGUGUAAGUAACUAUGCACGUCUUGACGGUACCUAAUCAGAAAGCCACGGCUAACUACGUG
rnacentral:rRNA from 1 species